rnacentral:tRNA from 1 species
GCUUAGCUCAGUUGGUUAGAGCACGGUGCUAACAACGCCAAGGUUGCGAGUAAAAUAUUAUGAUAAACA